GGCGAGGUCCAUUGAGUCUCGGCCUUCAAAGGCUUCAUAACGCAUGCUUUACUAAUGAAAUGAAAUGAAACUUUUCUCAUUACCUCAUCUAUUCUUUCUUUGAGUCGUUGUUUACUGAGCUUAUUUUGUCUUUCAUCCUGUCGGACGUUGACGUUGUUUGAAGAUUCUUGAUCGUCGCUGUAUUAAUUCGCCCUUAGGGAC
rnacentral:lncRNA from 1 species